rnacentral:rRNA from 1 species
ACGCUGGCGGCAGGCUUAACACAUGCAAGUCGAACGGUAACAGGGAUUAGCUUGCUAAUUUGCUGACGAGUGGCGGACGGGUGAGUAAUGCUUGGGAAUCUGGCUUAUGGAGGGGGAUAACUACGGGAAACUGUAGCUAAUACCGCGUAAUAUCGGAAGAUUAAAGGGUGGGACUUUCGAGCCACCUGCCAUAAGAUGAGCCCAAGUGGGAUUAGGUAGUUGGUUAGGUAAGGGCUGACCAAGCCGACGAUCUCUAGCUGGUCUGAGAGGAUGACCAGCCACACUGGAACUGAGACACGGUCCAGACUCCUACGGGAGGCAGCAGUGGGGAAUAUUGCACAAUGGGGGGAACCCUGAUGCAGCCAUGCCGCGUGAAUGAAGAAGGCCUUCGGGUUGUAAAGUUCUUUCGGUGACGAGGAAGGUUGAUAGGUUAAUAGCCUAUCAAAUUGACGUUAAUCACAGAAGAAGCACCGGCUAACUCCGUGCCAGCAGCCGCGGUAAUACGGGGGGUGCGAGCGUUAAUCGGAAUAACUGGGCGUAAAGGGCACGCAGGCGGUGACUUAAGUGAGAUGUGAAAGCCCCGAGCUUAACUUGGGAAUUGCAUUUCAUACUGGGUCGCUAGAGUACUUUAGGGAGGGGUAGAAUUCCACGUGUAGCGGUGAAAUGCGUAGAGAUGUGGAGGAAUACCGAAGGCGAAGGCAGCCCCUUGGGAAUGUACUGACGCUCAUGUGCGAAAGCGUGGGGAGCAAACAGGAUUAGAUACCCUGGUAGUCCACGCUGUAAACGAUGUCGAUUUGGGGAUUGGGCUUUGAGCUUGGUGCCCGUAGCUAACGUGAUAAAUCGACCGCCUGGGGAGUACGGCCGCAAGGUUAAAACUCAAAUGAAUUGACGGGGGCCCGCACAAGCGGUGGAGC